UUCUGGGCAGCCUGGUGGGUCUGGCCACCCAUACUGGAGUGACCAUAGAGUGGGUCCUCGGGGACUGCCACACACAGAGCCAACAGUGGUGGAAGUCUCAUGCUCCAGCAUGCAAUUGCGUUGGGAGUCCCUCCUGGUGAAAGUGAGAGAAGAGUUUCGUUUCCUGAUCAGCCUGUGUGCCGACUGCUGCAAUGGCAGACACUCCUCUUGUCUCUGGCUCACACAUGGAUGGCUUCACUCUGUGCAGCUGGCUACAGUACCUCCCUGCAUUCCUCUCUGGUCCUCCAUUUCUGGUUAAUUUGGGAAGAUGGAAGAGAAGUAACAUCUGGCAGAUGCCUUAAGAUCACAUGCUUUGUGGCUCCAGAAUCCCAAGAAGAGGGAGAAGAUGUGGCUUCUGGGAUUUGACCUAAUCGUUCCUGUGGGUGACCAGAUGGCCUGUUCCUCAUGAUGAAUCUCAGAGAAGAAGCCAUUUCCAGAUGUGCCACUGCACCCGGCGGCUUGUCACACAUACAGCAGCCCCUUGGAGAUCACCUGCCCACCAAGACCUGUAUCCUGUCCCUCCUUCCACUGUCCUAAGACCACCCCUCAGGCUCAGGUGAACUUCAGAUGGCCUCUCCUAUCACAUCUGCUUACACGUUCUCGUUACCUCGUACAGUAUGC